AUGAGGUUUCCAAAGAGGCCAGCAUGUAUACCUUGUAGGUGGUAGAGUGUUGACUAGUUUCCUAGAUGAAUGUACAAAAUUCCAUCACUUGAAGCAACUAUGUUUAAGAUCAUCAAGGAGAUGUUGCCACCUGAUGUUCGUGUUGCAAGAGAUGCUCAGGAUCUUAUUGUUGAGUGUUGUGUGGAAUUCAUCAAUCUACGCUUUCUUCAGAGUCUAAUGAAGUUUGCAGCUCGAGAGGAUAAA